GGCGAACGCUGGCGGCGUGCUUAACACAUGCCAGUCGAACGGAAAGGCCCUGCUUUUGUGGGGUGCUCGAGUGGCGAACGGGUGAGUAACACGUGAGUAACCUGCCCUUGACUUUGGGAUAACUUCAGGAAACUGGGGCUAAUACCGGAUAGGAGCUCCUGCUGCAUGGUGGGGGUUGGAAAGUUUCGGCGGUUGGGGAUGGACUCGCGGCUUAUCAGCUUGUUGGUGGGGUAGUGGCUUACCAAGGCUUUGACGGGUAGCCGGCCUGAGAGGGUGACCGGCCACAUUGGGACUGCGAUACGGCCCAGACUCCUACGGGAGGCAGCAGUGGGGAAUAUUGCACAAUGGGCGGAAGCCUGAUGCAGCAACGCCGCGUGCGGGAUGACGGCCUUCGGGUUGUAAACCGCUUUCGCCUGUGACGAAGCGUGAGUGACGGUAAUGGGUAAAGAAGCACCGGCUAACUACGUG
rnacentral:rRNA from 1 species